rnacentral:sRNA from 1 species
AUGUACCACACCCGUAUAUUCCGGUUCCUGCGCGCCGUCCGCACCUAUCCGAUGACUGCUCGCAACCUGGUGUGAGCC